rnacentral:lncRNA from 1 species
UUAAAUUGCUAAUAUGAAUAGCUCAAAUAAUAUCAUCAAUCAUGAGGGUAAUAUAGUACGCGAAAAAAUACCCCUUAUUGCUUUGUUCAGCAGUAGAAAUAGAUGAGGAUUUUCUGGUUCCUCUGCAAUACAGCAAUAACUUCGACAAACAAAACAAAAAAUUCCCUCAAAAAUCCAAAAAUCUCACCUGAGACAUAUAUAGAUGCAUAUACAAAUAUACACUUGGAAGAUAGAGUAAGGAAACUUUGAAUACUACAGCGUUGAUCUAGAAGGACGAGCCUGUGCCAAGACUGAUGCAUCUUAGACGGACUUUGUCAACUAAAUCUUUACCAUGCUUGCAACCUUCUCUUGGCAAUGCUUUCCCCCAUAGUCACAAUCAAUUACAUAUGGUAUUAUCCAUUAGUGAGAUGUAUAAUUUUUUAAAUUAAUCCCACAUAGCAGUAUUUCCAAAUAUUAGAAACAGUAGGUGAUAUAUGUCAAUAAUUUGUUCAUAUGAAAUUAAAGAAUUUUGAAUGAAUGCAUUUCUAUAUUAAGAGAAUUUAACUACCUUCAUAAUCUCCUAAGAAGAGUUAGUACUCCAACAAGAUUCAACAACAGUUUUGUAAGCACAAUUUGAAUGGUAAUUGGAACUAACACUCGUGCAAGGUCAGCAUUGAUAAAAUUAUUUGUAAUAUCGGUAAUGUUAACUCCAUAUUCAAUUUGAAUGAUUG